rnacentral:lncRNA from 1 species
AUGGGUUACAUCUGUGAGGUCACAAAGAGUUGGACACAACUGAGCCUGAGCACAGAUUCUGAUGCUCCAAUUCUAGACCUGGCCUACUUUUCCAGUUACAGUGCUGUUCCUCUGUCUUCUACAUGCCCUGGUUUCUUUCUCCUUCUCUACCAUCAAGGAACCAAAAUGAAAGAGGAAGUUACAUGGGAACGACAUUCCAUCUUUCCUGGAGAACAAUUUUCCUGUCAAAAAUUCGCGAGGAAGAAUAAAGAGCUCAGUGGCGCCUGCCUGGAAUACAGGACUCUGGAUCAGGGGUCUGCAGUAUUCCUGAAGAGGAGCAGAAUGUGGAGCACUGGAAGCCUUGGAAUGAUGAAGACUGAUGAUCUGGCAGAGGGUCGGAGGGGAGUGUCUAGAGUCAGGGAAACCAUAAGUGUGAUGUGGAGGAGGGUGUGGGUGAGGGAUGGUGACAAGGCAGCAUUCAGCCGCCUGUCUCCUCAUUGCGUGCUGUAAGCUGGCGAAAAUCAUGGCCCUGGAGUCCACCUGGACCACCCGCAAAGAACUGCCUCCUACAAGGUGGUCUCAGUGGCAAGGUGGCUCCAUGUGGUAAUUUAUUAUGUCUAAGCUCCAGCUAAUCUGAACUAACCCCUCAGCUUCACCCUGUAAAUCUCUCACAGAACUCUCAUUGAGUCUUUAUAGUUUUUGUCACACUCUGUACUUCAAUAUUAAAAAAAAAAUUUCCAUUAAUUGUCACCAUAACUACAUAAUAAACUCUAUAGUGGCAAGAGCAAUGUCUGUUUUGUCACCAAAUAUAACACCAAGAAUAGUUCUUGAAACAUAAUAGUCAAUUGCCUAGUAAAUACAUGAUGAAUAAAUAGGUGAAUUAAUGAAUGAAUAAAGCAUAUGUCAGGUUUUUUUUGUAACUUAGAGUGUUAAUACCAUUUUCACAAAGUGUGGGAUGUGAUUUUGCAAAUGUGAUGUACUUACAGUUUCCAGUUUUAAUUGAA